rnacentral:rRNA from 1 species
AUUGAACGCUGGCGGCAUGCUUUACACAUGCAAGUCGAACGGCAGCAUGGGCUUCGGCCUGAUGGCGAGUGGCGAACGGGUGAGUAAUGCAUCGGAACGUGCCGUGUAGUGGGGGAUAACACAGCGAAAGUUGUGCUAAUACCGCAUACAUCCUACGGGAAAAAGCAGGGGAUCGCAAGACCUUGCGCUAUACGAGCGGCCGAUGUCCGAUUAGCUAGUUGGUAGGGUAAAGGCCUACCAAGGCGACGAUCGGUAGCGGGUCUGAGAGGACGACCCGCCACACUGGAACUGAGACACGGUCCAGACUCCUACGGGAGGCAGCAGUGGGGAAUUUUGGACAAUGGGCGAAAGCCUGAUCCAGCAAUGCCGCGUGAGUGAAGAAGGCCCUUGGGUUGUAAAGCUCUUUCGGUCGGGAAGAAGGAAUGGGUGCUAAUAUCACCUGUGACAGACGGUACCGGCAUAAGAAGCACCGGCUAACUACGUGCCAGCCGCCGCCGUAA